UGGGGAAUAUUGCACAAUGGGGGAAACCCUGAUGCAGCGACGCCGCGUGAGCGAAGAAGGCUUUCGAGUCGUAAAGCUCUGUCCUAUGAGAAGAUAAUGACGGUAUCAUAGGAGGAAGCCCUGGCUAAAUACGUGCCAGCAGCCGCGGUAAUACGUAUGGGGCGAGCGUUGUCCGGAAUUAUUGGGCGUAAAGGGUACGUAGGCGGUUUUUUAAGUCAGGUGUCAAAGCGUGGGGCUUAACUCCAUUAAGCACUUGAAACUGAUAGACUUGAGUGAAGGAGAGGAAAGUGGAAUUCCUAGUGUAGCGGUGAAAUGCGUAGAUAUUAGGAGGAAUACCGGUGGCGAAGGCGACUUUCUGGACUUUUACUGACGCUCAGGUACGAAAGCGUGGGGAGCAAACAGG
rnacentral:rRNA from 1 species